rnacentral:rRNA from 1 species
CUACUGGAAACGGUGGCUAAUACCCCAUAACGUCUCAAGACCAAAGAGCGGGACCAUCAGGCCUCAAGCCAUCAGAAGAGCCCAGAUGGGAUUAGCUUGUUGGAGAGGUAACGGCUCACCAACGCGACGAUCCCUAGCUGGACUGAGAGGAUGAACAGCAACACAGGAACUGAGCCACGGUCCAGACUCCUACGGGAGACAGCAGUGGGGAAUAUUGCACAAAGAGCGCA